GAUAGCCGUCACAGACGCAACACUCGGGGAGAGAUAGCUAGCUAGCGUCUCUACCACAAGCGGCUAAUUCUUGUUGUACACUGGUCCAUUUGUGCUGAACGAUGUUCAAAAGCAUCAAAUCUACGACAACUUCAUGCUUUUGUCUGUAGCUGUGUACAUUUUGGCAAGUCCAAAAUUUUGCAUGAAGAUGAAUGACCUUGCAAAUACUCUGUUGCUUUCAUUUGUUGAACACUUUGGCCAGCUUUAUGGUGAAGAGUUGUUGGUUUACAAUAUCCAUGGCCUGGUGCACCUCAGUGAAGAUGUCAAAAUACAUGGCAAUCUAGAUCUUAUAUCAGGAUUCCCCUUUGAAAAUUUCUUAGGAAAACUAAAAAACUGGUUAGAGGGCCUUGCAAUCCUUUUUUACUCAGGUUAUGCGUAGAUUGUCAGAGAUAGAAAAUAGCAACUACAGUUGUGAUGUUCAAGAGGCAAUUCAAAAAUUGGAUAAAGAACAUACAGAUGGGCCAGUACCAGAGUGCUUCUCACUACAAGCUCGUCAAUUUAAAGUUCUUGCGAUUGAUGAUAUAGUUGUGAAACUCAAUGAGAGAGAUUCUUGUGUCAAAAUCGACAAUCAGUUGGUUUUAGUCCAAAACAUUGUUGAGGAUAAAGGUGCAGUAUACCUUAUGGGCAAUGAAUAUAAGCAAGUGGAACACUUCUUUAAAUAUCCUAUUGAUUCAAAGGAGUUGGGAAUUUAUGUGGUUUCCAACCUCUCCACAAAUGUUCGGUGUUUCAUGACAGGAAAGAAGCUUCAGAAGUAUGUGAGAUUGCCAUUCCGAAACAGAUUUGUUGUUGUUCCACUCCUGCAUCAAGAGAAAUAACUCUUAAGUUGCUUUUGUAUAAUAUUCGGCUGAGGAAUACAAUUCUUUGUCUUUUUAGAUGUUUCACGUUGUUGUCUUUAACAAAACAAAUGAGGUUGAAGUUGUGCCUGCAGUCUGGAUUAAAAAUGGUGAAAAAUAGUGCAUGUGGCCUCCAAAUAAAAGUGAUAUAACAAAAGCUGUAAAAUCUCAAAAGAGUCCUGGAGAUGAUUGGAAGCCAGAAAUAUUUUCCCAUCAUGUGAGUUAUGUUUUGCCACCACUUCCUUUAAAUGAAUUAAUAGUAAUUUAAUUUAAAAUCAUUGUUUUACUUUUUACAUUUCUUCUUUUUGUGAUGCUACUUUUCCAGUUAGCUACAAGGAGGCAAAACGUAAACUACCUCUAGCUGUUGAUCACACAGACAUUGAUCAGACCGAUGGAGGGAACUCACCCAUUACAUUUCAAAGAAAAAGAAAGUAGGGUUUUGCUUUGUGUGUUUUGCACCACAUUUAAAAAUAAAAGUGUAUUUUGAAAUUAAUAAAUGUGUUGUUAGACCCAAGAACAUUCUUUUCCCUGGAGAAGAAGAUGAUAGUGAGAUGGAAGGACACCAGAAAGAACCAAAGUAAAAAAAGGGUAAGAAGCAUCUGCUUUUUAUAAUGAUAAUUUAUUUCACCACAGCAGAUAAAUGACUGACAUUUUGUACUUUUAAGCAGAAGGUAUUCCAUACCUGAUGCUCCAAAAAUCGCUAGACAACACAAAUUAGACCCAGGAAAGCCAAGCUACCCAAAGCUCUGCCACAGUACUCCUGACCUCCCUAAUGAUAUGAAACUCAUUAAAGGAACAAAGUCAAGAAAAAGGUAAGAAGCAUCAGCCUUUUUAAGUUACAGUGCAUUAUAUCACAGCUGUUAAAGGACUAAGAUAUUUUGUAUUUUGUAGGAGGCAUGCCUUACCUAAUGCUCCAGUGUUUACUAGGGAACAGAUUUCUCUUGUAGUAGACAACCUCCAACUUAGUGGCCAAAGCAGUCCUGACCUUCCUUCACAUGGCCAAAGCAGUCCUGACCUUCAUUCACAUGGCCAAAGCAGUCCUGACGUUAGCCCACAUGGCCAAAGCAGUCCUGACGUUAGCCCACAUGGCCAAAGCAGUCCUAAUGUUAGCCCACAUGGCCAAAGCAGUCCUCCCCUUCAUCCACACAGCCAAAUGAGUCACAACCUUCGCCCAAGUUGCUACUACAGUCCUGACUUGUAUGCAGAUUGUCACAGCACUCCUAAAAUCCACUCAAGUCCCCAGACCAGCACUACUAUGUUAUCCUCCGGCUGGCAUGUUCGCUCUGAGAGCUGUACAUCAGGUAAAUCAAGCACUGAGACCCUUUCAAGGCAUGCUGACAUUGAGGUCAGAAAAACAGCCCACAAAAGUAAGGAGAUCCAUAAAAAAAAAGGCACUCUGAAUCUUCAAGGUCACACCCCACCAGGGACAUCCAGCAAACAUCCAGUCACCAAAUGUUUCUUCUUCAUAAUAUAUUAACAAAACAGGAAAUGGUGAUGGACCAAUUGCGAAUUAUCUUUAAGACCCUCCAGUGUAUGCAAUCAAGUCAGGAAACAGAGAUAGGCCUGGAUCGAAAUUUAUUACCACUCAAAGAUCUCAGUACUAUUCAGGACAUGGAGGACAAUCUGCGGAGUACUCCUGACCUCCAUAAGCAAUUGGUAAACACACUGGCUCUUAAAGGUGGGACGGACGUUCGGGAGUGUGUUUGGAGAAUCAUGCAUGGACUUUACAAUAUUUGGCGAGGAAAGUUAACAUGAGAGGAGUGAAUGGAAAGACUGGCUUCCUACGCCUACAGAUACGAGAUGUUGUGAUUGGUAAGUUGCCAUUUAUGCCCAAUAUAUACUGUCAUUCAUACUUUUAAUAAACAUGGGAAGGAAGAAACAAUAAUUAAAAUGGGUAGACAGGUACACAGGAAAAGACAACACAGCAGUUUAUCCAGAGGUCCUAGGUGCAGUUUGUCUUGUAAUAUUGUAUUUUAUCCAAUAUCCACGUUACCUGUUGAUGCAAAAGUUAAUUACACGCUAUGUGUGCUUGUGUUUUUCAGCGGCUGUAAGGCGUAACCGUCUUUUUCAACAGAAAAAUAAAUCGAUUCCACAGUUAAAAGAUGGCUAUAUCUGGCCCCAGACAGAGAUGGUGGCCAAAAAGAGAGAAUGAAGAACAAGGUGUGCGAAGAGAGUCUGACUGGUUAGCAGACUUCAGGAAUGGAUGUUCAAAAACUCUGUCCAGGGCUUGUUCGUUGACAAAAUCAUUAAUGUUUUGGAGUUAUUUGAAGCGUACUGUUACUGACUAUAAAAGUGGAGGCUCAAGUGUUAUGUGAAGUGAAACUUGUUGAUGACUAGAAACACGGUUGUUUAAGUGUUAUAGGUUGAGUAAAUCUUGUUAUUAACCAGGACGUUCAAGUGUUAGGCAAAGUGUGAAACUUGUUAAUGACAAACAUGGAUGUUCAAGCGUUUUAUGUCAGGUUUUAUGUUAAAUAUAAUAAAAUAUUUGUUCAGAAUAUUGUCGUUGUGGUGACUAUUCAUUUGGGGGGGUGUGUAUCAAGUGGCUUGGUUAUGGUUUUGUUAAGGCUAACAUGUGGAACCUAUCUGGUCCAGUGUAUAGGACCACAAUAGGGCCAGUUAUGGUCAUACAGGUGGGUGAGAUAUGGCUCUGUCAUGGCCCUUUUAUGGCCCAUAUUUUGGCUGCCAGGUUUAGUUAACCUAUGGAUUACACUCAGGUGUGGCUAAGUUUUGGGCUUUCUGCUGUUGAUGGUUUACUUAUGGUUGUAUUUUGGUUCCAAUGUCAUAUUUUGACCCGGCCCAAUUUAGGACCAGUUAUGGGUAUUUAACUUGGUUAUGGCACAUGUGUGGCCCUUGUCUGGAAUCCGAACCUGGUCCACACUAGUACCUUAAUUCAUUGCGGUAUGUGGGCCACGCAAAAGCUGGUUUUGUGGGCCAGAGCUGGGCCAAAUAAAAAUUGCUAUGUGGGUCUAUACUUCACCAUCAACAUUCUCAAAUCAAAUAAUGUGUCUGUAGUGCUUUUUCUCGUAAUGAAAGCAUACAUAGCUCACAGAUUGUUAACUCUUCUCUCAGGGUGGCUUCCACUACUCUUUCCCAUAACUUCAUGUUUUGAUUGAUCAACUUUAUUCCUCUGUAGUUACUGCAGUUCUGCACAUCUCCCUUAUUCUUAAAAAUUAGUAGAAGCACAAUUCUUCUCCAUUCGUCAGGCAUUCUCUCAACGUUCAGAAUCUUGUUUAACAAUCUUGUUAAAAACUCCACUGCCAUCUCAUCUAAACAUCUCCACGCUUCUAAUGGUGUGUCAUCUGGGCCAACCGACUUUCUACUCUUCAUCCUCUUAAUAGCUGAUCUCACUUCCUCCUUACUAAGCCUAUCCACUUCCUGAUUUACAAUAUCCACAUCAUCCAGCCUUCUCUCUCUCUCAUUUUCAGCUGCUCAAAAUACUUCCUCCAUCUUCUCAUCACACUUUCCUCAAUAGUCAACACAUUUCUAUCUGCAUCAUUUAUUGCUUUAACUUGCACAUUCUUCCCAGCUUCCCAAUUCCCUCUGCCUAGCCAAUUGGUACAAAUCCUUUUCUCCUUUCUUAGUGUACAACUUCUCAUACAGAUCCUCAUAUGCCUUUUCCUUUGCUUUUGCCACAUUCCUCUUCACCUGCUGCCGCAU